GACACACGCCUCGAAGCCUCGGCACAUCACGUAACAUCACUACUAAUUACCCGAUCCUCGCUGCUCCGCUAAACCUAGCUCCUGGAUACCUCCACGACCACCAGCCAGCUGCUGCCUGUCCACCCUCAGUCUUAUGCUGGAACUCCUCCACCUGGAAAUCCCACACUGCACCGACUGCUGGAAAACCCAUGUACCCACCUCUGCUCAUCCUAACCCUCAGACAUUCCUCCUCUGGCCCGGUUCCUCCCUGCUGCUGCAGAUCAACACGCCUCUAUUCUCUCCCCAUUUGCACUCAUUAUUCAAUAAAUCUGUUAAACUGUGCUUGGUGUCCAUAGUUGUUGCUUGCCUUCGAGUCCUGGUAACCUCUCACCAUGACACACCCACUCUCAGGACUUCUUCCUUCAGACUGUGCUUAUUUUAACUCCCCACAUAAGACUGGUAAAGGCAGAGGCCUAGUGACAUAUUCAGAUCUAGCUUUCACUGUCAACAGAUUUCUGCAAAUCCAUACUUUGCAGUAUUUUGCAUGUUUAAUUUAAUUUGAAAUUAAACAAACUCCUUCAUUGCUGUGUGGCGUGGUUUACCGCCCUGCUAAGUUUGAUAAGGACUUAAUCUCUGAAUUUUCGGAUUUCUUGACUGGGAUCACCAUGAUCAGAUACUAAUUAUUGGAGAUUUCAACAUACAUGUAUGUUGUGAUGACAAACCAUUAGUAAAGCACUUCCUGGACUUGAUUGAUUCCUUUAAUUUUAUUCAAUUAAAAGUUGGUUGGUUGGCCCAACUCACAAAAAAGGCCAUACUUUGGACCUUGUAUUAUCUCAUGGCUUUUGUUUAAAUAUCAAUGAAGUCUGUCAAACUUGCAUUUCCAAGUUUGACAGACUUGCAAAUGUCUGUCAAACAGAACAGGUAAAUACCUGUUCUGUUCACUAUCGCUAUUUCAACCACUGUGGUUAAAAAAUGUACAAGAUCUACUACUUCUCGUAGGAUUACCUCGUCAACCACCUCUCAGUUCUCUGCAGCCAUUGGUGAUACGUUAUCACCUGUGUCACACAUCAACAGCAAUUUUGAUGUCAAUGAACAAAUAGAUUUUCUGAGUCGUAGUUCAAUGAAACUACCUGUGCUCUCAGGCGAAACUGCAGGCAAGUCGAGAGGCAGUGAAAAAAGAUUAAGUUGCAGGUUUCUUUUGACAUUCUGAAAAUUGUUUACUUAAUUAUCAGAAUAAUUCAGUAAAAUCUGAAAAAUCAAAAUACUUGGUUGCUCUGGUUUCCUCAAACAAAAAUAGGCCUCAAGUUCUUCUUAAAGUCUCAGAUAAAGUUACUAACCCUCCGAAUGCACCUGCUUAUACAGCUUCUGUUGAUCUUUGUAACAAAUUCUUAAAAUUUUUCACUGACAAAAUGACUUUUGACUGGACAUGUCCCGGCUGCUAUCAAACAUGCCAUGGUAUACUCAUUAUUAAAAAAAACUGAACUUAGACCACGGUAAUCUUGCUAAUUUUAGACCCAUUUCUAUUACGAUCUUUAUCAAAAGUUUUAGAAAAGAUUGGUUUUACUCGGCUCCAGUCUUUUCUAACAGACCAUGAUAUAUCUGAGAAAUUCCAAUCUGGUUUUAAAUGUGGACACAGUAUAGAAACCGCCUUUCUUAGCGUAUUUAAUGAUCUCCUAACAGUUGAUUCAGGGGACAUUGCAGUUUUAUGUUAUUAGAUUUAAGUGCAGCGUUUGAUACCAUUGACCACAACAUCCUUUUAUUUCGAUUGAAGCACUGUGUUGGUCUUAAGGAUACAGUUUUAGGCUGUGUUCACACUGCAGCCUGAAGUGACCAAAUUCAGAUUUUUUGUCAAAUCGGAUUUUUUUGCCUGGGCCGUUCACACUGCCACACAUAUGGGACCUGUAUGUGUUCUGCAGUCUGAACAGGAAAACGACCUGUGCUGUUCAGACUGUCAUGAAAAGAUCAAAUACAGGUCGCAUUACGUCAAAAAA